UACGUAGGUGGCAAGCGUUGUCCGAAAUUAUUGGGCGUAAAGCGCGCGCAGGCGGCCUUUUAAGUCUGAUGUGAAAUCUUGCGGCUCAACCGCAAGUGGCCAUUGGAAACUGGGAGGCUUGAGUACAGAAGAGGAGAGUGGAAUUCCACGUGUAGCGGUGAAAUGCGUAGAUAUGUGGAGGAACACCAGUGGCGAAGGCGACUCUCUGGUCUGUAACUGACGCUGAGGCGCGAAAGCGUGGGGAGCAAACAGG
rnacentral:rRNA from 1 species